UACGUAGGGUGCAAGCGUUGUCCGGAAUUAUUGGGCGUAAAGAGCUCGUAGGCGGUCUGUCGCGUCGGCUGUGAAAUCCCGAGGCUCAACCUCGGGUCUGCAGUCGAUACGGGCAAACUAGAGUAUUGCAGGGGAGACUGGAAUUCCUGGUGUAGCGGUGAAAUGCGCAGAUAUCAGGAGGAACACCGGUGGCGAAGGCGGGUCUCUGGACAGUUCCUGACGCUGAGGCACGAAGGUCAGGGGAGCAAACAGG
rnacentral:rRNA from 1 species